rnacentral:rRNA from 1 species
AGUAACGCGUGAGGAGCCUGCCUCAAAGAGGGGGACAACAGUUGGAAACGACUGCUAAUACCGCAUAAGCCCACAGCUCGGCAUCGAGCAGAGGGAAAAGGAGUGAUCCGCUUUGAGAUGGCCUCGCGUCCGAUUAGCUAGUUGGUGAGGUAACGGCCCACCAAGGCGACGAUCGGUAGCCGGACUGGGAGGUUGAACGGCCACAUUGGGACUGAGACACGGCCCAG